UGUCUAUCUACUUUCCUUCUUUCCCUAUUUACUUCUCCUCCACAUUGGCUUCUACAUUGAUUUCUCCUCCACAAUUCCUCUCCAUUAAUCUCCAUUUUUCCUCAAAUUUCGCUUCAAUGUUGCUGUCUAGAUAAUACAAAUUACAGGUUUUAUCGCAUAGUGGUCAGAAAUUACAGAGAAGAAGAGCUGUAGAAUACAAUUGACGUAACAAUCUUUUUGAGCUUAAAUUUCAUCAAAUUAUUGUUUUGUUCUUGCAUGCAGCAUCAGAUUUGAUUCUUGUAGCCAUGAGACUAUUUUGGUGUAUUUUGUUUCUGCUCUUGAAAUUUGAAUACUUCAACAAAUAUUGGUGGGGCGACAAGUAGUUGUGUUUAUAUAUUUAGGAUUGAAGAUUUGUUGUUUGAGAUUUGAGAAAAUCGCUUUGGCUUUCACUUCUUCAGCUGUAAUUCAUGGUUCUCUUUCUUCUUCAUCUUCAUAUGAACAACAACAACCUAGAGGUUACCCAUUACUCUUUUUCUCUCCAUUUUUUCAGUUUUUGUUUUUAAUUCUGUAAAUGUGCUAGAGAUUUUUCUCAUCCGGGUUUCAUUUUUUUUCUUCUUUGGUUCUCAAAUUUUCAAUUUUUUCACUUAAAACUGUUAAUAUGAUAAAGAUCAGAGAAUUUUAACAUCUGGGUUUGCUAUUUCUUUGUUUGAGUUCCUAAAGUUUCAAUUUUUACACUUAAAAGUGUUAAUGUGAUGAAUAUCAGACAAUUUUAUACUCCCUCUUCUAAAUAAGGGAGAUAUUGUGAAUUCAUAGAACAUUUGUCAGUAGUUUUAAUCCUUUCCCAUGCAUCCACAUUGUUGUCACCGAAACUCCACCAACUACAUCUUCCCUCUCCGUCGGUAACCAUGCAAGCUAUCCAAUCUUCAUCUCUCUGGCCAUCUCCGGUCGACCCAUUUCUCAAAACCAUACCCCAAUUCACCAAUGUAAAGCCAUUGAUACCCAAAAGAACCCCUUUUAUCUCAGCUUCAUCCACUACAGUUUCAGCUCCAACAAGGGAAAAAGACCCUGAAAAGCGUGUUGUUAUAACUGGGAUGGGUCUUCUUUCUGUGUUUGGGAAUGAUGUUGAUGCUUAUUAUGAUAAGUUAUUGGCUGGUGAAAGUGGGGUUACUCUAAUUCAUCGAUUUUGUGAUUGUACUGGCCAUGUGUGUUUUCAUUAUAUUAUUUACUUGGUAUGACAUUGCUAUUGACAAAAUAUAUUUAUGUGAACAAUUUAAAAGUAGCAGUAACUUCAUUUUAGAGUUUUUUUUAUACAUUAAAAAUUGAUUUAUAGUUUCAGAUUUUUUUGUAUCAACAACCUCUAUACAUUUUGCACUGAACCCGAGGAGAGGAUAAAGUAAUGAAGUCGCACUAUGUCUUAACAACAAAGCCUGACAUACUGUUCAACCGUGAAGUUACUUCCAUGAUUCAUCAUCAUCAUUGCCAAAUGACAUUGAAUGGGAAAAUCUUUUUUAUUGUCUUACUAUUCCCUCGAAUGAUAGUUACAUUUCAUUUGAAAUAACAUUCGAAGCAAGAUAAAAACAAAAGACCAUAUAGGAUAUUAAAAAGUAUAAUGUUCAUUCCUUUUUGUACAACUAAUUAAUAGAGUAGUGUUCAACCCCUUUUUAGUAUAAUUUUUACUGCUUUUUGUACAAUGCACAUAGUGGUAUUCACUCUCUCAUUUCUAGAAGAGAGUAAUGUAUAUUGUUAUAUGUCUUUAUAUGUUUUUGAUGAUUGUGUGACAUUUACAUCUGUUGAACUGUGACCAUGAAGAAAAAGAAAGACUAAUAUAAGCAAACUUAUUUAGUUGAAGAAAUAUUUUAUCAGGUGAUAGUAUAGCAGUGAAGUAAGAAGUAUUACUAUGAAAGGGAAUUUAAUUAAUAGUGACUCGACUGAUCAUUAUACGAAACUGUUUUUGGGCUUACAACCCAAAUGACGUGCUUCAUAGCACGCAAGAUAGAGUUGCUACAUUCUUUAUAAUAACAUAAAUUGUAAUUUUGAAACUUCACUGAUAUAUUUUACACAAAUUGAUUAUUGGUCAGAGGAUUGUAGUUAUGAGAUAAUGGUUUAAAAUGACUACAGGGAAGCUUUUUAAUGCUGGAGAAAUUCUCAAGUUUUUUUGUUAUGCUUUUUGGUGAUAAAAAAAGUAAAUCACCCUAUGCUUUCAACAUAUAGUGUAAUCCCAAUGAUACUACUUUGUAUUAAAUUGCUCAGGUUGUAAGCUUGAAUAGUAGCUAAUGGUUUCUCUUUAUCUUAACAGGCUAUAUAUGUGUUUCUCUAUAAUUUUAUCCUUCUUUUAGUAAGAUUUGCUAUAGCUCACUUGAUAUAUACUUAAACACAUAAUAGUAACCAACAAACUCUUAACACUUAUUGUGUGAUAUUUACUGAUUGAUGAAACCUCCUCAUAAGAAAAUUAAUUUGUCUUCUGCGUUAUUUCUGUUGGUGUGUUGAUUAUUGAAAUGGUUGUGUUUUAGGUUUAUAUUACAUGAGGUUAAUCAAAGGAGUGGUGAGUCUUACGUAUGUAUGUACAGAUUUGGCCUUAUCAUUUUUAGUUGCUUCGUUUAUUUCUUUCGAUUAAGUCAUGCUUAUAACAGCUAAGAAACGUUGACAAUUGUGUUUCAAACAAAACCUAUAAUACAUAGUAUUACCAUAGAUGUCUGCAAUAUGAAUUUAGGUCCAGCUAGAAAGAAUGAUCUAUGUAAAAGGAAUUAUGAGGCUAGAAAAAAAUAGAAGAGAUUCUACUUAUUAAGUUGCUUACAGUCUGUAUGGAUAGUAUGACUUGAAAACUUUAGUCUUGGUAUUGAAUUUGGUAAGCUUUCUCUUCAGAUCAUUGGCUCUUUUCCUCCUCUAUUUCGUUAUUCGUAACAACAGAUUUGCUAACCGUGGAAGCAAAUUGUAGCGUGAUGCAGUAAAUUAUCAACUCAACUAAGAGCUAACGGAAAGCCACUGGUAUGGACAAUAAGAAUGGAAGAAAAUAGAGAUAAUGUGUCUGCCCAAGAAAGAACUUCUGAGAGAAAUUUGCGUCGUCGUACCAGAUAUGCACAGAUGUCACCA